rnacentral:rRNA from 1 species
UACGUAGGGUGCAAGCGUUGUCCGGAAUCAUUGGGCGUAAAGCGCGUGUAGGCGGUCCGGUAAGUCCGCUGUGAAAGUCGGGGGCUCAACCCUCGAAUGCCGGUGGAUACUGUCGGGCUAGAGUGCGGAAGAGGCGAGUGGAAUUCCUGGUGUAGCGGUGAAAUGCGCAGAUAUCAGGAGGAACACCUAUUGCGAAGGCAGCUCGCUGGGACGUAACUGACGCUGAGACGCGAAAGCGUGGGGAGCAAACAGG